rnacentral:rRNA from 1 species
UGCCAGCAGCCGCGGUAAUACGUAGGACCCGAGCGUUGUCCGGAUUUACUGGGUAUAAAGGGUGCGCAGGCGGCCGUGUGCGUCAGAAGUGAAAUAUCCGGGCUUAACCCGGAGGGUGCUUUUGAUACGGCAUGGCUUGAGUCCGAGAGAGGAUGAUGGAAUUCCUGGUGUAGCGGUGGAAUGCGUAGAUAUCAGGAGGAACACCGGUGGCGAAGGCGGUCAUCUGGCUCGGAACUGACGCUCAGGCACAAAAGCGUGGGGAUCAAACAGGAUUAGAUA